rnacentral:rRNA from 1 species
UACGGAGGGGGGCUAGCGUUGUUCGGAAUUACUGGGCGUAAAGCGCACGUAGGCGGCUUUGUAAGUUAGAGGUGAAAGCCCGGGGGCUCAACUCCGGAAUUGCCUUUAAGACUGCAUCGCUAGAAUUGUGGAGAGGUAAGUGGAAUUCCGAGUGUAGAGGUGAAAUUCGUAGAUAUUCGGAAGAACACCAGUGGCGAAGGCGACUUACUGGACACAUAUUGACGCUGAGGUGCGAAAGCGUGGGGAGCAAACAGG